rnacentral:rRNA from 1 species
UUAGGCGACUAAGCGUACACGGUGGAUGCCCUGGCAGUCAGAGGCGAUGAAGGACGUGCUAAUCUGCGAUAAGCGUCGGUAAGGUGAUAUGAACCGUUAUAACCGGCGAUUUCCGAAUGGGGAAACCCAGUGUGAUUCGUCACACUAUCAUUAACUGAAUCCAUAGGUUAAUGAGGCGAACCGGGGGAACUGAAACAUCUAAGUACCCCGAGGAAAAGAAAUCAACCGAGAUUCCCCCAGUAGCGGCGAGCGAACGGGGAGGAGCCCAGAGCCUGAAUCAGUGUGUGUGUUAGUGGAAGCGUCUGGAAAGGCGCGCGAUACAGGGUGACAGCCCCGUACACAAAAAUGCACAUACUGUGAGCUCGAUGAGUAGGGCGGGACACGUGGUAUCCUGUCUGAAUAUGGGGGGACCAUCCUCCAAGGCUAAAUACUCCUGACUGACCGAUAGUGAACCAGUACCGUGAGGGAAAGGCGAAAAGAACCCCGGCGAGGGGAGUGAAAAAGAACCUGAAACCGUGUACGUACAAGCAGUGGGAGCCUCCUUUAUGGGGUGACUGCGUACCUUUUGUAUAAUGGGUCAGCGACUUAUAUUCUGUAGCAAGGUUAACCGAAUAGGGGAGCCGAAGGGAAACCGAGUCUUAACCGGGCGUUAAGUUGCACGGUAUAGACCCGAAACCCGGUGAUCUAGCCAUGGGCAGGUUGAAGGUUGGGUAACACUAACUGGAGGACCGAACCGACUAAUGUUGAAAAAUUAGCGGAUGACUUGUGGCUGGGGGUGAAAGGCCAAUCAAACCGGGAGAUAGCUGGUUCUCCCCGAAAGCUAUUUAGGUAGCGCCUCGUGAAUUCAUCUCCGGGG